GGAUGACGUCAGGUCCUCAUGGCCCUUAUGGGUAGGGCUACACACGUCAUACAAUGGCCGGUACAGAGGGCUGCCAACCCGCGAGGGGGAGCCAAUCCCAGAAAACCGGUCGUAGUCCGGAUCGCAGUCUGCAACUCGACUGCGUGAAGUCGGAAUCGCUAGUAAUCGCGGAUCAGCUUGCCGCGGUGAAUACGUUCCCGGGUCUUGUACACACCGCCCGUCACACCAUGGGAGCGGGUUCUGCCAGAAGUAGUUAGCCUAACCGCAAGGAGGGCGAUUACCACGGCAGGGUUCGUGACUGGGGUGAAGUCGUAACAAGGUAGCCGUAUCGGAAGGUGCGGCUGGAACACCUCCUU
rnacentral:rRNA from 1 species